CCUUAGAGUUUGAUUCUGGCUCAGGACGAACGCUGGCGGCGUGCUUAACACAUGCAAGUCGAACGAUGACGGUGGUGCUUGCACUGCCUGAUUAGUGGCGAACGGGUGAGUAACACGUGAGUAACCUGCCCCUCACUUCGGGAUAACCUCGGGAAAUCGAGGCUAAUACCGGAUAUGAGCUCCUGCCGCAUGGUGGGGGUUGUAAAGAUUUAUCGGUGAGGGAUGGACUCGCGGCCUAUCAGUUUGUUGGUGAGGUAAUGGCUCACCAAGGCGAUGACGGGUAGCCGGCCUGAGAGGGCGACCGGCCACACUGGGACUGAGACACGGCCCAGACUCCUACGGGAGGCAGCAGUGGGGAAUAUUGCACAAUGGGCGAAAGCCUGAUGCAGCGACGCCGCGUGGGGGAUGACGGCCUUCGGGUUGUAAACCCCUUUCAGUAGGGAAGAAGCGAGAGUGACGGUACCUGCAGAAGAAGCGCCGGCUAACUACGUGCCAGCAGCCGCGGUAAUACGUAGGGCGCAAGCGUUGUCCGGAAUUAUUGGGCGUAAAGAGCUUGUAGGUGGCUUGUCGCGUCUGCCGUGAAAACCCGAGGCUCAACCUCGGGCGUGCGGUGGGUACGGGCAGGCUAGAGUGUGGUAGGGGAGACUGGAACUCCUGGUGUAGCGGUGAAAUGCGCAGAUAUCAGGAAGAACACCGAUGGCGAAGGCAGGUCUCUGGGCCAUUACUGACACUGAGAAGCGAAAGCAUGGGUAGCGAACAGGAUUAGAUACCCUGGUAGUCCAUGCCGUAAACGUUGGGCACUAGGUGUGGGGGACAUUCCACGUUCUCCGCGCCGUAGUUAACGCAUUAAGUGCCCCGCCUGGGGAGUACGGCCGCAAGGCUAAAACUCAAAUGAAUUGACGGGG
rnacentral:rRNA from 1 species